rnacentral:rRNA from 1 species
CCGGCUAACUACGUGCCAGCAGCCGCGGUAAUACGUAGGGCGCAAACGUUGUUNGGAUUAACUGGGUAUAAAGGGUUCGUAGGCGGGCUGGUAAGUCAGAUGUGAAAGCCAACGGCUUAACCGUUGAAUUGCUUCUGAUACUGCUAGUCUUGAGUCCGUUAGGGGGUGGUGGAAUUCCUGGUGUAGCGGUGAAAUGCGUAAAUAUCAGGGGGAACACCAGUGGCGAAGGCGGCCACCUGGGACGGUACUGACGCUGAGGAACGAAAGCAUGGGUAUCAAACGGGAUUAGAUACCCCGGUAGUCCAUGCCGUAAACGAUGGGCACUAGGUGUCGGAGGAGUCUACCCCUUCGGUGCCGCAGCUAACGCAUUAAGUGCCCCACCUGGGGAGUACGAUCGCAAGGUUGAAACUCAAAGGAAUUGACGGGGGCCCGCACAAGCGGUGGAGCAUGUGGUUUAAUUCGAUGCAACGCGAAGAACCUUACCUGGACUUGACAUAUAGGAGACAGCCGUAGAAAUACGGUUUCCUUCGGGUUCCUAUACAGGUGCUGCAUGGCUGUCGUCAGCUCGUGUCGUGAAAUGUUGGGUUAAGUCCCGCAACGAGCGCAACCCUUGUCCUUAGUUGCCAUCAGGUAAUGCUGGGAACUCUAAGGAGACUGCCGGUGACAAACCGGAGGAAGGUGGGGACGACGUCAAGUCAUCAUGGCCCUUACGUCCAGGGCUACACACGUGCUACAAUGGCCGGUACAAAGAGCAGCGAGACAGCGAUGUCAAGCGAAUCUCAAAAAGCCGGUCUCAGUUCGGAUUGUAGUCUGCAACUCGACUACAUGAAGCUGGAAUCGCUAGUAAUCGCGUAUCAGCAUGACGCGGUGAAUACGUUCCCGGGCCUUGCACACACCGCCCGUC